rnacentral:rRNA from 1 species
AUUGAACGCUGGCGGCAUGCUUUACACAUGCAAGUCGAACGGUAACAGGCCGCAAGGUGCUGACGAGUGGCGAACGGGUGAGUAAUGCAUCGGAACGUGCCCAGUCGUGGGGGAUAACGCAGCGAAAGCUGCGCUAAUACCGCAUACGAUCUAUGGAUGAAAGCGGGGGACCGUAAGGCCUCGCGCGAUUGGAGCGGCCGAUGUCAGAUUAGGUAGUUGGUGGGGUAAAGGCUCACCAAGCCAACGAUCUGUAGCUGGUCUGAGAGGACGACCAGCCUCACUGGGACUGAGACACGGCCCAGACUCCUACGGGAGGCAGCAGUGGGGAAUUUUGGACAAUGGGCGCAAGCCUGAUCCAGCAAUGCCGCGUGCAGGAAGAAGGCCUUCGGGUUGUAAACUGCUUUUGUACGGAACGAAACGGUCUGGGUUAAUACCUCGGGCUAAUGACGGUACCGUAAGAAUAAGCACCGGCUAACUACGUGCCAGCAGCCGCAGUAAGAC